CCUACGGGAGGCAGCAGUAGGGAAUAUUGCUCAAUGGGGGAAACCCUGAAGCAGCAACGCCGCGUGGAGGAUGAAGGUUUUCGGAUUGUAAACUCCUUUUGUUAGAGAAGAUAAUGACGGUAUCUAACGAAUAAGCACCGGCUAACUACGUGCCAGCAGCCGCGGUAAUACGGAGGGUGCAAGCGUUAUUCGGAAUCACUGGGCGUAAAGAGCGCGUAGGCGGGAUAGCAAGUCAGAGGUGAAAUCCUAUGGCUUAACCAUAGAACUGCAUUUGAAACUGUUAUUCUAGAGUAUGGGAGAGGUAGGUGGAAGUCUGGGUGUAGGGGUAAAAUGCGUAGAGAUAAAGAGGAACACUCAUGGCGAAGGCGACCUGCUAGAACAUAACUGACGCUGAGGCGCGAAAGCGUGGGGAGCAAACAGGAUUAGAUACCCUUGUAGUC
rnacentral:rRNA from 1 species